rnacentral:rRNA from 1 species
GUUAGGAAUAUUGGACAAUGGGCGCAAGCCUGAUCCAGCCAUGCCGCGUGAGUGAUGAAGGCCUUCGGGUUGUAAAGCUCUUUAGUCCACGAAUAUAAUGACUGUAGUGGAAGAAUAAGCCCCGGCUAACUUCGUGCCAGCAGCCGCGGUAAUACGAAGGGGGCGAGCGUUAUUCGGAAUCACUGGGCGUAAAGCGUGCGUAGGCUGUUUUGUAAGUCAGAAGUGAAAGCCCAGGGCUUAACCCUGGAAUUGCUUUUGAAACUACAAGACUCGAAUUCGGGAGAGGAAAGCGGAAUUGUCAGUGUAGCAGUGAAAUGCGUAGAUAUUGACAGGAACACCAGUGGCGCAAGCGGCUAUCUGGACCGAUAUUGACGCUGAGGCACGAAAGCGUGGGGAGCAAACAGGAUUAGAUACCCGGGUAGUCC